CGAAAUACAAUUAAAAAAUCAUGUUAUAGAAGACAGAAGAAUAUCAAUAUGUGUUUUCAAUAACUUGGUUUUCAUAGCAAAUCUGAGAGACUGUUUACCGUUUAACUCCUGUCCCAAUCUAAUCUAGUGGGUUCAAAAAGAAGGGACCUCGCUGGAAACAUGAUUGGAUUAAAAGGAUCAGCCUUUUUUGAAUUAAUAGUCGAAGUGGUAACCAGCUAUAAGUCGUAACCUGCUCGUAUGAAAGGAUUUCUCGACGUGAAAUUGUUAAUUUUAGUCAGCAACGCCAAGAAACAGAGCUCGCUCAAGAAACAGAAAAGAAAGAGAAAGAUGAAAAAAUAUU